ensembl:lncRNA
CAAACUUCUGACAUCUCUGCCAUCUGUUGGUGACGGUCGUACCCAGCAGUACCACUGACUGCAGUUUCCAAAGUCACGCUGGAUGUGCAAAGUGGUGCCUCAUUUCCAGGCCAGGUUUCUUUGUUGUUUGUUUUUCCAGGAAUCCCCCAUCCUUUUCUCUCCCGUUUUUAUUCCUUGUUUUAUUCUUCAGCUUCUCGAGGCUGUGUUUUGUGGUUUUUUCUCUUAGCCCUUUCCCAUUCUCCAGCCGGACACGACGCCAGAAGUUAGAGAAAAACCCACUUCUCCACCUCUCCUUCAAUACACCCAAGGGAUGGGAACUCUCUCCCAAGGGAUGGGAACCUCUUGGCAUGAAGCUGAGUCACCAUCCCUGGAGGUGUUCAAGAACCACGUAAAUGUUGUGCUAAGGGACGUGGUUCAGUGGGGGAAAUGGUGGUGGUGGAUGGUUGGACUGGAUGGUCUUGGAGCUCUUUUCCAACCGUGGUGACUCUGUGAAACAUCUGGACUUUUCCCCAUGGAAAUAAUUGCUGGGAGUGAUUUGAGGGGCAAAGCUGGCCUAAAUGGUGGGGAAGUCUCCCAUGCUUUAUUCAUUCCAAGCACUGAAUUCAGCGGGAGUUGGGAUGUACCUCGCAAAGGAGGAGCUGAGGUGGAGUGGGAAGUAAAGGUGAGGAUGCAGCAGUGAGAAGAGGCUGAAGGGGCAGUGCAUGAGUGCUGGGGGCUCACGUUUCCAGCCUGCACUGCAAAGCUGACGGGAAGCUCUUAGUCCAACCUCACUAAAACAAACUGGUGUGACCGGCACCUCUGUGUCUGGGAAGCCACUGAUGGGAUCACCAAGGUCACAAAAUGGGGCUCGCUGGGACAGAGCCAGCCCCAUCCCUGGGCACACGGGUGGCUGAAUCUACGUUGGGUUUCCCGGAAGGUACUGCUUUGGUGCAAGACUGAUGAGCAUCUCCAGUGAUGAGCAGCGGGAUGCUGGUGGCUAUGGGAUGCUAGGUGUGGAUGAAGCUGGUUUUUCACCCUCCUCUGCAAAGCAGAGGGACACCCCCGUGAUGUUUCAGUCGCCUCAGUGGUGGAGGCAGCAUCCAUAGGACAUCACGACCCCACACAGCUCAUGGUGGGAAGAACCACGAGCAAGAAAUCUCUCUCUGCUGAUGGCGCGCGAACCUUCUCUGGUGAUACGAGCACUGAUUUGGGAGGAGUGGAGUUUUUUACCCUGGGGCACUCCAGGAGAUCAAACUGAUGGUUUGGUUCAGUUUUAUAGCCAGAAGGGAAAUCUACUGUGCUUACUUUGAAUGCAACAUGCGUUCUUUUUUGUUUCCCUAAUCUUCCGGACUAAAAAGGGGCUAAAUGGAGCCUGAAGUAUAAUUUUCAGACAAAGAAAAUAUAAAGAAGAACAGUCAUCGAGGCUGCAUGGUAUUUUUUCCUCACGUUUAUCUCCACUUUCCAAACAAACCUCAAGUUUAGUCACUGUGUAAAGGUCUGUCUCGAUGAAUUAGCUGUUUAACAAUGGUUUUCUCCCUAAUUCCAGCUAAUGGAAUAAUAGGACCUGCUGGAGGCAAGUUCAUAAACUGCGGGCUGUGUAAUGGAUCAUCUCCAGUCUCUGCCACUGACUCCUCAAGAGAGACUCAUUGACAUACCUUUGCAUGAAGCAAUUCACUGCUUCUUGGAUCUCCCAUGAUUGUAUGAUUGAAGGAUGACCACGGAUACUGCAGAUCUCCAGAACAGACCACCUCACCCUGACAAACAAAUGCACGUUCCUCUGUAAUUUUCCAACAGGAUUUGCAGUGGGUGGGCACAGGCUGGAGAGCUUGGCAGCGUUUCCAGUAGGGCUGUUUGCUGCAGAAAACACUUAUUUUUAUCCAUGUAUGGAAUAAUUGUCUCCUGGUGUCUGUGAUGAAAUCUGUGAUUUCUGCAGCCACGCUCCCUCGCUCUACAAGCUCUGCACCAACACUCUCUGUACACCCCAAAGCAAGACACCAACGCUGGCUUUAACCAUCCUCCUCUCCAUCCAUAUAAAUCCCUUUCUGUAAACCUACCCCCGGCUCUUCUCAGCCAGAAGAGCAUGUCGUGGAGGGCAGGUCCUACUUCGGCUGGUUGGUUGGAUGGUAGCCUUUUCCCACACUGGUCAGCAACUCCCAGACCAGAACACCUUAUCUCUGUACCUCCCUGUCCAAAAGGAGAGCCUACCCUGACACCCCCACCCCUCCGACGUGUCCUCAGUGCCCUCUGAUGCGUCCCUGAGGCACAGGAGGGGGCGGAUGGAAUGUUUUCCU